rnacentral:rRNA from 1 species
CAGAGGGGGCAAGCGUUGUUCGGAAUUACUGGGCGUAAAGGGCGCGUAGGCGGCCUGCUAAGUCGAACGUGAAAUCCCUGGGCUCAACCCAGGAACUGCGUCCGAUACUGGUUGGCUUGAAUCCGGGAGAGGGAUGUGGAAUUCCAGGUGUAGCGGUGAAAUGCGUAGAUAUCUGGAGGAACACCGGUGGCGAAGGCGACAUCCUGGACCGGUAUUGACGCUGAGGCGCGAAAGCCAGGGGAGCAAACGGGAUUAGAUACCCCGGUAGUCCUGGCCCUAAACGAUGAACGCUUGGUGUGGCGGGUAUCGAUCCCUGCCGUGCCGAAGCUAACGCAUUAAGCAUUCCGCCUGGGGAGUACGGUCGCAAGGCUG